UGAAGAUCUUAUGAUCGCCGUCGAGAC
rnacentral:sRNA from 1 species